rnacentral:lncRNA from 1 species
GUUCCUGUGCCGGUAGGUAGGCUGGGAGAGAGGAACUUGUGGGAGGAGAAAAACAUCUAAAAUCUGUGAACUCAGAAGUAUCCUGAUGAAGAGCAUGGGCUCUGGAAUCACUCUGCCUUUGGCUUGAAUCCAGACCCUUCACAUGGAAUCACCUCAGCCAUGCUCAUUUGUGUAUGUAUCACCUAUGGCUGAUUUCACUCUGUAAUAUCAGAGUUUAGUUAUUGUGAAUGAGACUGACUGAGACCAUCUGUCCUACCAAGCCUAAGUUAUCUUUUAUUUGGACUUUUAUAGAAAAAGUUGCUGUACACUGUUCUAGAAUGGUAGUUCUAACUGGGUUGAUACUGCCUUCCGGUGGGGGAUGUGGAAAGCAUUUUUGGUUGACACUGUCUAGGGAGUGUUUCUAGAAUCUGGGGAACAGAGAUGGUAAACAUCUUUAAUAUACAACAAACUUAAAUAGUAAAGAGUUGUCUUCCUGAAAAGUCAGUAGCAUCCUUGGCGAGAAAUAUAUGCUCUAGAAUCUCCAAAAUAAUGUUGAAGCACCUGCACUUAAUUUGUGAUUUUAACUUAAAUGGUUUUAAUAUUUCACUGCUUAGAAUAUUAUUUGCUGAAGAGCAGAGAUUUUGAAGCCAUGUGCUGGAUUUAAAUCCCUUACAAGCUGUGUGGCCUUGGGCAAAGCAAAUGUUGUGCACUUCAGUGUCCUUAUCAAUAAAAUGGGAAUAAUGGUGCCUGCUUCACGGAGUUGCCUUGAGAAUGAAAUGACUAGGUACAUAUAAAACACACAAAAUAAUGCACAGUUCAUAGCAAACACUCAAUAAGGGAAAACUGUCGUUUUUAGUCUCAGGAUUAUUUUGGCAUAUUGGUUAAAGUUACCAACUGCAGAAAUCCUGACUGUGGUGGUUUAAACAAAUAGGGGUUUAUUUUUCUCACAUAAUAAGAAAUCUAGAGGUGAAUAACUGCUAGCAUGAAUUAAGUAGCUAGACAACAGCAUGGCUAAUAUCUCUGUGUUUUCUUAUCCUUUACCUCAUGUUUCCAAGAUGGUUAUUGUAGCUUCAGCAUCAUAUCCUUGUUUUGAGGCAGGAAAGAAGAGAAAGAGCUAUGCUGCACCUGACUCAUUUUAUCAGGGAAAUAAAACCUUGCCCAGAUUCCUCUCAGCAGACACUGGAGCCAUUUUUCUAGGUUUGAAUUCUGACACUGCCUUUUACUGGCUGUGUGAUAUUGGGCAAGUUUUUUAACCUCUCAGUGCCUUAGUUUUCUUAUUUGCAAAACAGGGGGUGCUAGGAGUAUACAUCUUAAUGCAUUAUUGUCAAUAGUAUGUGAGCUAUGAAUUCAUAAAAUUAUUUUAUGAGACUCUACUUAUAUAAGUGGGUUCCCUAGAGCUCCUACCUGAUGUUAUAUCUCAUGCCUCAUGUCUUUCACAUCAUUGUAUCUCAUAAAUUUUCUUUCUUAUAAACAUAUGGGUAAAAUUAAGUUGCUACAUAGGACAUGGUUUUAUUCAGUGUGCAGUUAUGCAUUUCUGUGAUCAUGCUGUCAUUGCCUCUUGUCUUUCAUGAGGGAGACAUUUCAUACCAGUUCACUCUGUUCAGGCCAGUACAGCCCAGGCUAUGUUUGUUUUUCUGUAACCCCUUUGCUGUAUUUUUUAAAUAUAGCCUAUGAUGAUGGCAUUUGAUCAUAUUACCGGCAUUUCUCCUGAAACACCAAUAAAACCCUUGAAAUAUAAAAAUAUAACUUUACAAGCCUCCUGAUUUAAUGUUAUCAUUAAACAUUUAUAUAUUACUUUAUAUUUACAAAGUGCUAUAUAAUUAUUUAGUAGUUAAUUGUACUGUUAAACCAUCUGGCUAAAUUAAUGAUUUCAAAUUGUCCUACCAGUUGGUAGCUGAGGAAUGAAAAGUGAAGUCAUACUGAAUUUUAUUCUCCUUAAACAAACCUUUCUGUCCUCCUCUGCACAAUAUAGUAUAGACUGGCUUCAAAUGGAGGUUCAAAUCAGAGGGGAAAAGGUAUCUUUGUUCUCUUCUUCCUUUUGUCCUAUAAAUGUAGGCUUCCUUCAGGAUUCAGGCCUAGACGAAAUUCUGUUCUCUCUUGGAAGGCCCCACAUCUAGUCCCACAUAUUCAACUGUUGACUCCACAUCUGUAAUUCAUCUGUCUUGCAAACAGUAAUUCAGUAUCUUAAAACAUCAUCAGACACAACUUAGAAUAGAUUUACAAGGAGAUCCUGCUGAAUAGCAUUGAGAACUUUGUCUAGAUACUCAUGUUGCAACAGAACAAAGGGUGGGAAAAAAAUGUAAUUGUAAUAUAUACAUGUAAGGAUAACUUGAUCCCCUUGCAGUACAGUAGGAAAAUAAAAAAUAAUAAUAAUAAAUUAAAAAAGAAUUAACUGAAAUAAAAUCCAUAAGAAGUUUAAAAAAAUAAAAAUAAAAAAAUAAAAUAACCUAAUAAUCUAGUAAGUAAAACAUUUCUCUGCAUUCUGAAAGCUGUACUAACAAAUUAAUGGAAUCCAAUGUCAGGGUGGGGGUCAAUGGAACCUUCAAUCUGUAGCCAGUUUUGUCAGAAGCAUAGGUGACAACCUGGAACUGCUGCUGGCAUCUGAAAUUGAGAGGCACAGGGUAAUCUUGGAAUGAACCCUUAACCUAUGGUUUCUGAGACUACCCUAGGUAGUCUCAGAAUUGUGUUGAACUAUGGACAACCAGUUAGUGUCAGAGAAUUACUUGGUGAUAUGGG